CGAAGGGGGCUAGCGUUGCUCGGAAUUACUGGGCGUAAAGGGCGCGUAGGCGGACAGUUAAGUCAGAGGUGAAAGCCCAGGGCUCAACCCUGGAAUUGCCUUUGAUACUGGCUGUCUUGAGUGCGGGAGAGGUGUGUGGAACUCCGAGUGUAGAGGUGAAAUUCGUAGAUAUUCGGAAGAACACCAGUGGCGAAGGCGACACACUGGCCCGUAACUGACGCUGAGGCGCGAAAGCGUGGGGAGCAAACAGGAUUAGAUACCCUGGUAGUCCACGCCGUAAACGAUGAGUGCUAGUUGUCGGCAUGCAUGCAUGUCGGUGACGCAGCUAACGCAUUAAGCACUCCGCCUGGGGAGUACGGUCGCAAGAUUA
rnacentral:rRNA from 1 species